rnacentral:tRNA from 1 species
GCUGGCUGGCUCAGUCAAUAGAGCACAAGACUCUUGAUCUUGGGGUUGUGAGUUUGAGCCCCAUGUUGGGCA